CCUACGGGAGGCAGCAGUGGGGAAUAUUGCACAAUGGGGGAAACCCUGAUGCAGCGACGCCGCGUGAGCGAUGAAGUCUUUCGGUAUGUAAAGCUCUAUCAGCAGGGAAGAAAGUGACGGUACCUCAGGACUAAGCCACGGCUCACUACGUGCCAGCAGCCGCGGUCAUACGUCGGUGGCAAGCGUUAUCCGGAUUUAUUGGGUGUAAAGGGCGUGUAGGCGGGAAAGCAAGUCAGAUGGGAAAACUCAGGGCUCAACCCUGAGCCUGCAUUUGAAACUGUUUUUCUUGAGUGCUGGAGAGGCAAGCGGAAUGCGGGGUGUAGCGGUGAAAUGCAUAGAUAUACGGAGGAACACCAGUGGCGAAGGCGGCCUGCUGGACGAUGACUGACGUUGAGGCUCGAAAGCGUGGGGAGCAAACAGGAUUAGAUACCCGAGUAGUC
rnacentral:rRNA from 1 species